rnacentral:rRNA from 1 species
GACGUAGGGUGCAAGCGUUGUCCGGAUUUAUUGGGCGUAAAGAGCUCGUAGGCGGCUUGUUGCGUCGACUGUGAAAACCCGCGGCUAACCGCGGGCUUGCAGUCGAUACGGGCAGGCUAGAGUUCGGUAGGGGAGACUGGAAUUCCUGGUGUAGCGGUGAAAUGCGCAGAUAUCAGGAGGAACACCAAUGGCGAAGGCAGCACUCUGGGACGUGACUACGACGUGAGACGCGAAAGUGUGGGGGAGCAAACAGG